UGGGGAUUAGCCAAGUGGUAAGGCAACGGACUCUGACUCCGUCAUUCAAAGGUUCAAAUCCUUUAUCCCCAGCCA
rnacentral:tRNA from 1 species